rnacentral:rRNA from 1 species
AGCAGCCGCGGUAAUUCCAGCUCCAAUAGCGUAUAUUAAAGUUGUUGCAGUUAAAAAGCUCGUAGUUGAAUUUCGGGAUCAAGUCGUCGGUCGUGCUCAGGUACGUACUGGCGUCAUUGAUUUCUCCCUUCUGACGAACCAUGAUGUCAUUAAUUUGGUGUUAUGGGAAAUCAGGACUGUUACUUUGAAAAAAUUAGAGUGUUUAAAGCAGGCUCACGCUUGAAUACAUUAGCAUGGAAUAAUGAAAUAGGACGUUCGAUCCUAUUUUGUUGGUUUUAGGAUCAACGUAAUGAUUAAUAGGGAUAGUUGGGGGCAUUAGUAUUCAAUUGUCAGAGGUGAAAUUCUUGGAUUUAUUGAAGACUAACUACUGCGAAAGCAUUUGCCAAGGAUGUUUUCAUUAAUCAAGAACGAAAGUUAGGGGAUCGAAGACGAUCAGAUACCGUCGUAGUCUUAACCAUAAACUAUGCCGACUAGGGAUCGGAUGAUGUUAAUUUUUAAUGA